UCGUCAGUGAGGUAUAUCCUUACUUGUUCCUCCUCCGGGAGAACAGCACAUGAUGAAUGGAGAGCGCAUGAGAGAUGAUUAGAGUCUCCGCGGGCGGGGGCCUGCGACCCCCCCGCUCUGCUCCUUUCUGAU